rnacentral:rRNA from 1 species
UACGUAGGGUGCAAGCGUUGUCCUGAAUUAUUGGGCGUAAAGAGCUCGUAGGCGGUUUGUUGCGUCGGCUGUGAAAACCCGGGGCUCAACUCCGGGCCUGCAGCCGAUACGAGCAGACUAGAGUUCGGCAGGGGAGACUGGAAUUCCUGGUGUAGCGGUGAAAUGCGCAGAUAUCAGGAGGAACACCGGUGGCGAAGGCGGUUCUCUGGGCCGAUACUGACGCUGAGGAGCGAAAGCGUGGGGAGCGAACAGG